ensembl:lncRNA
UGUUUGUCUUCUGAACCAUAGGUUUACAGGGUUACUCAAGAAGACAAGAUGUUUUACAGCCUCUUUCUGACAUAUAUCUUUGAGCUUGUGUAUAUUGGUAAGGACAUUUAUUACUAUUUCUAUAUUAAUGUAUUAAUCUCUUAGUGUAAACAAUCUAUACAUUUCUUCAUAGUUUGUCACCCAAAAAAAGUUUUAAUGUAGCCUUUUAAUUGUAUAUAUGUGUGUGGUUGUGUAUUAUAGGUGCAAGUCUGCUUUUUCAGUCUCCCAGUGUGACUGUGGAUGUGGGUACAAAUGUGACAUUAUCAUGUGAUAUCUCACAUGCAUUUGGUCAGUGCUCCUCUGUCAGGUGGCUACUCUACCAGCCAGUAGGUGGCCUCAGGAUCUACACCCACCUCAGCAGAGGCUUCAGGGCCAUCACCCACGAAGCUCAGCGAGAUACGCAGUGCCUGCUGAAUAUUCCCCAGGCCAGUCUUUCACAUAACGGCACAUUUUACUGUCUGCUGUUGAAUUUAGGGGUGGAUUAUAUGGGUAAUGGAACAGAGCUGACUGUCAUGGGUAAACAACCUCAAGAAAUCUCUGCUGAAUUAUUCUCUACAAACUUCAAUAUGUGAAAUGCUAAUUGAAAAACACAGAAAGCAGAGAUUAGUAAUGUCUGUGUGAAUGUUUCUAGUCUUCAAAUGACCCUGUCCCACAUUUUUUGGAGCGUGUUGCAUGCAUCAAUUUCAGAAUGAGCAUAUAUUUAAAAACAAGUAAUGAAGCUGAUAAGGUAAAACAUAAUAUGUUUGGUUUUUGUACCAAAUACUGUUUGUUUAACUACAUGUGUGAUUUACAAAUCACUGCUUUCUGUUUUUAUUUGCAUUUCACUAACAUUUUUGGAAUUGAGGUCUGUAUUUAUAUGAGCACAUCAGGUUCCCAGUGUUUUGAUGAGAGGUUUUCAUCUCUGUUCCAGACACAACCGACAAGGUGAAGGUGAAUGAAGGCCACAGAAUGAUUUUGGAAAAAGUUAAGGAAUGUCAGUGUUUGAUCCCCUGGGCAGUUUUUGGAGGUGUCUCCCUUCUUCUAUUCAUCUUAACUGUCAUUGCAGUGUGCAUCUGGCAGAGGAGAGGAAUAACUCAGCAAAGAAACAACAAUGCAGCAGGGAAACACCAGCAAUCUUCAAGUGAAACGCAGUAUGCUACCCUUAAGUUUGGACCGGGGAGGCAUGAGGAUAUUACACAUUCCUGUACCUAAGGCUUCUGUAAUGCAACCAUCAUUUUAGCAAAUUCUCAAUGUUACUCAGUCUGGAACAUAAACACGCCACACUUCAGCAGUUUUGCAAGCUUGUUAUUAACAUCCAUUCAUUUGCAUUUAAUUUUACCUUGAGAAUCAGGUCUUUAUUUAGUUUUAGUCCUACAGAAGCCUAAACAGACUGUGAGCCAGUUCUCCGCUAGUGAGCCAGUUCUCCACUAGAAGGCAGUAGAUUACUUCAUUUUGAAUUGCAAGGCUCUACUGUGUACUUAUGUUCUGACUUCUUACGCUGUUUCGCAUUUGUUCUCACUGCCAAUUGACAUGUUUGCAGCCUGUAAUUAAAGCAAGAGAAUACAAGUGAUUGAGAAUGUGGAUUAUUUGUGAAAGCACCAAAACUACACACAUGAAUGAUACUAUUAAAAGACUACUGGUGGAUAAGGUACAGCUUCUGGGCUUGAAUGAAAGGAGAAAAAGAGGAGAGAGAGAGUUGCGUACUAACACAUUAGGUUUUUCGCUUUUUAUUACUAAUAAUUUCUCUAUACGAGCAACCUUUACAUCUUGGCUACAAAUGAAAACAUAAACUUUCCAGCUCCUUCUGUUUAGAUUGAUGCAAACAUAGUUAAUUCAAUAGAAGUCUAUAAACCAGACAAGAUUUCUAAUAAACAUACAUUAACCUCUUAUGUUCCAGGGUAUAUUUAGGAUUUUUUUGCCUGAAUUUACAUGCACGAAGCCUGCAUGUACAAAUUAUUCAGUACCUUCAAGAAAUAAAUGUGAAGUGUUGGUGUCCUAAGAUGUGUUUUAAGAUCAUAAUGGGGCAUCUUUCAGUAGAAAAGAAAGUUCAGCUUCAUUCAUUACAAUGUAAUUCAAGUCUGAAUUAAGGAUGUCAGGUGGCUUUUCCAGGUGUUCUUUUGGUAUCUCCAAGUGUCCAUUUCAUUCCAAACUACCACCAAAACAUCUUCUAACAAGCAUUGUAACAUACAAUGUAUGGGUUGUUUGAUAGGCAUAAGCACACACUGUCAUGCUAUACUGACCAUACUGGGCUCACUGGGACCACAAUAAAGAAAUAUGUACACAUAUGCAGUCGUGACUGACGUGUGUCUUUUAUCUGAAUUUAUACAAACACUUUCAUUUUAUAGUAAAUUUGUUUUGGCUAGUUUAUGUUUAUGAACAGAGACUUACAGAUGCAAUGUAAUAAAGGAAAACUUACUUGUGAACCUGUGUUUAAAGGUUUUAUUAAACUUAAACUUGUAAAUAAAUUGCAAAUAAAUCCUUAACUGAAACUUCGCUUGUUUGCAGAAGUUCUUUCAGAACUUGCUUCUACCUAAUGGAAACUGUUUGCCUUCAGUUUUUUGUGCUUAAGAUAAUUUUAAUAGAGAUCAGC